CACACACACACACAUAUAUAUAAGUUAUAUGUAUAUACAACUGUCCUUUAAGAAAGAGGAAAACCACCAUAUAUUGAUCAUCAGUUAUGUACCCAACACGUUACAUAUAUUAUGUCUAAUCUUUACACCCACAUUGCAAGGUAAAGAUUAUAUCUCCAUUUCACAGAUAAAUAAAUUGAUCAGAAAAAGUCAAAAGGUUUAUUCAAGUUCACGUAGACGGUAAGUAGCAGAGAUGUACAAACAUUGUCCAAUCAAAACCAGAACAAACAGAAAUAAGAGUUUGCAGUCUUUAGACUUAUCUCAACUCCUGCUUCUUAUCUGUUUAUAACACUUUCUUGGCCUGGACUUAACCCUUUCUAUAAAUUUUAUCUUUCAAAUUUUCAUAUUCUUGAAAACAGAAACCUGGAAAUGUCUCUUAACUCAGUGUCUAAUGGAUAAUUAGCAUCAAUUUUCGGGGUACCUCUCAUCAUUUUUCUAACUUCCUUCCCCUCUCUUUAAGCUUGGUCUUCUCUGCCCAUCAUCUUCCACUGGUGCUGCCCGAAUGUGACCCAGUUAGGACCCAAGUCUAUGUGCAGUCAUUAUGUGUCACUAUGAUUCAAAAAUACAAAGCCUCCUCAUUCACGAAGAUUAGUAAAUAUUCCAAAUCCUGGGAAAAGAACAAAAUCUUUCUGACUGUGAAUUUGUAAGCACUCAUCAACGUCAACAAAAUCCAACUCUAAGGUUCUGAGCAUACACAUCCAAUCCAGUACCUUUGUGGUUUGAUACACAUUUCACAAUCCUUUUUUGUUUUGAAAGUCAUAUUUUAUUCAAUUAUAAGAUGGGAACAUGCUGUUCAAGAUCAUGAAUUUAGAGAAUAAGUGGAAAAACCUCUCCUCAAACCUCACUUACGUUCACAUCUCUCUUAGUAUUCUCAUGGUAACUUGACUGCUCCAAAAAUUACAGAGGAUGUUGAUAAUUUACCAACUUUUACAUUUUGUACCUAAUAAUUGGGCCAAAUAGUAUCAAAACAUAUUCCUUGUUAACUACAAGAUUAUCAGCCAAAAGAAUCUAAGUGCUAUAGUAGAAAAAGCAUGGGUUUUGGGGUUAAACAGCCCCCAGUUAGAAUCCUAGUUUCUGUACUCAGUAGCUCUGACACCAAACAAAUUGCUUAUCUUCUCUGUGCCCCUUUUUCUUCACUCUUAAAAAUGGCCAUUUAAAUGUCUAUUUUAUGGGCUUGAUAUAGGUAACAGAAAUUAUGUAAGAACUUCUCAGAAAAUAAUAAACAUGAUUAUUCAUAGCCAUCAGAUAGCUAGAAUGAGGGCCAAAAAAAAAUGAGUUAUGUCUAACUUUGGAUGGGCUUAAGCAGUUGGGAAUGAGGGCAAUAUGGGGAAAACGAAGAGUGACCACAUGAGUUCUCUUCCUUCUCGACAAGUCAGAGUGGUUAUUAGGGGAUGAAUGUACUUAGUGAGGAGGAGAGCAGCAAAACUGGGAAAUUCUGGGUCCAGAAGAAGUUGAGAUGUGAAGAAAUAAGUUUCUUUCUUUAUUUAUUUCAGCCUACUAAGUGUCAGAGGCUUUACCUACUUAAUUCUCAGAACAAAUCUAAAAGGCAGGUAUUGUUUUCCCUGAGAGUCAAAGAGGUCAAUAACUUGUCUAAGAUCACACAGUGAGUCACAGAGCAGAUUUUCUAACUUAUCAAAAUUGUGGACUUUGUAUAACCAGUCACUGCCCGGAACUCUGCCUUUCAAGAUAUUUGCAACAGGUUGAGACAAGCCACACCUUCACUUCCUGCAAUAUAGCAGACGAUAUAUUCUGAAGGACUGUUUCACCAUGAAACAACUACAAUCUUUUUUUUUUAAUUAGAAUCCUGAAAAUGAAUCAACUGCAUACAACAAUCUUGGCAGCAAAAAAAGUGGCUCAAUGUUCAGAGAGCUGCUCAACGGUGGUCUUGUAAAUGAACAACCCACAAUUACAAUGAAAACAAGCAACCUAGCAGCUGCUGGCAUCCAAAUAAGGCAAGCAAUCUAGGAAAUGACUGGCUUACUCAGAAGAAGGAAUACAGAAUCCUCUCCUCCUUCAAAAUGUAGACAAUUGAGACAACAGAGACAGACACUCAAAUGAGCUCCUAUCCUCACUUGACCAUAUGACUUUCUUUUAAGGAAGAUCUUGCAGGACCUCCUGACCUCCUGUCAUUUAGAGGAUGGUUGUCUCAUUUUGUCUUUUGAAUCCAGUGAUUACAGAAAGGAAUCUGGAAAUCCAUAACCCUCGAAACUGACUGUAGAUUAAAUACUUGGUCUUGUACAUCUAUGACACUAUUUUCCAAUGUGUUUCCACUAUGAUUAAUAAGAUGACAUUUUAUUUAGAGUGUUUUUUUAAAAAAAAACACACAUUAUCUACUAUUUCAUAUAUCAGAAACCAAAAACACAAAGAACUAAGUUGACAAUAACUAUUUCAGUCCUAUAUUCUCUUAAUCUCUCUCCCUGGAAGGUCAAGGAGCUUUGGGAAUUUGCGCAGAAAAUGUGCCUUCUAGAAAGCCUCAUUCCAUAUCUGUUUCACAAUCUGAGGGGUCGAAUGACCAACCAUUAAAACUCACCUCCAAUACUGGUUAUCUACAAAGAAGUAGGUCCUAUAAAAACGUGGGUUAAAAACAGCUGCAUCAAUUUUUUUCACAAAGUUAGGAAAACCAAAAGAAUGUAUGCUCUUGGGAUAAUUUGGCUCUGGUCUUAAAUUGCUAAUUAACCAGUAUUUGUCAUCUGUGAAGACAAAGAAAUAGGGUAAAUUUGAAUUAUACAGGAAGAGUAAUAAGAAAAUAUUGAUUUACUAUAAACAACAUAAUUCCUUUCCAACAGUUAUAAUAUUUAUUGCUUAUUGAUCUUAAACAUAGUCUCUUUUCUAUGGUUCCCAUGGUUUUUUUUCACAAGUAUUACUAUUUUGUAGUUUACAAACUUUUCCCAGAAGUUGUAUAUAUUACUUAGGUAUUUAGGCUAUUUUAGUUUACACUUCAGAGCGAGCCACUAUUAAUAAAAUCAAGAGUGCUUUCUUGGUCUAUAUCUAUUAAAAAGUAGUAGUCUCUUCUCAAUUUAUUCUCUUCCUUGAAGUAAACUCAAUGGCAAAACUAAAGAUUAGAAUUACCUUUAAAAAGAAAAACUUGAUUUCUGGCUUCAAUUUCAUAAGCAGCUUCAAUGCCAGAUGGCAAGGUUGGCCAUAAGGAAGAAAU